GCGUUCGGCACAUGAAAAGCGCGACGUUUGAAACAGGCCUAACUUGUCACGUACAUGAUAGUCUCAACAAAGUGCCAAACUCUUAAGGUCGGUUUCCAUUGCGGUCGCUUUGCCCACGCGGGCGGAGCGGGCUUUGAAAAUCUGCUCACGCGGGCGUGACGGGCGUCAAAAACAAUGAACGCUUCGCCCGCGCGGGCAAAGCGAACGUUAAUGGAAAACGGCUAAUUAAGGCCUGUUUCAAACGUCGCGUUUCUCAUGUGCCGAACGCAUUAAAAACAAUAGAUAAUCAGCUGAAAUGCCUCAUUAUCUAUUGUUUCUAAUGCAUUCGGCACAUGAGAAGCGAGACGUUUGAAACAGGCAUUA